GUGGAAUUCCAGCCUCUCAUCCUGGAGGCAGCCAGAGGUCAUCACUGCCUGAUCCAGAGAAAGCUUCGUGACGCUUAGAAUUUUCCAGAGAGCGAUCAAGACUUAGACUGAAGAGGGAACGUUUGCAAUGAAAGCAGGUUGUGCCAUUGUAGUGCUCAUGCCUGCAACUUCACGCUCUCCCAGUCCAGGAAAUUCUGCCGCAUUUCCCUAAUUCCGGUCAUGUAUAGGCAGUAUUCUAUGUUAGUAUUAAGUGUGGCGCUGAUUUUUAAUGAAUAUUAUAAAAGUUUGGGUCGCUCUACUGAGGGAGGACCAUAAAUUCCCCUCUUGUAAAAUGUGCAUUGGCAUAUACUGAGGAAGCAGGGACACAUGCUGAGAGGCUACGACAUUACCAGAGAGAAGCUAAAGGGUCCGAGAUCAUUUUUCUAACAUCACUACAGAGAACUCCUCACUGAGAUGUAGAACCACUCAGGGGCGGGUGGGGAGAUGUCUCUAAUUUUUUCCGUGAUCAAAUGGGACAAAGUCCCAGAGCUAGACAGAACACUUGGGCUGCUGCCAUUAGGAUGUGACAACCUGCUUCUGAGGUCCCUGCUUGGUUUCCUGGCAAGCCAAGACCACCCAGCUAUGAGUGGAGUUACUCACAUACGCUUGGCGCUUGGGGAGGUGAGGAGGAGGGUGCUGCUAUAACUGAUAUUACCACCGAGCUUCUGGUCCCAGGUAUAUAUUUUGCACUAAUUUAUGGAUACAUGUGUACGUAUGACCUAUGUCAUGGGACCUGCUCUACAUCUAGGUUUUGGAUUUUUGUUGGGAAGUGAACCACUUGAAAUGGAAUUAAGGAGUCCUAUGAGAAAGGAAAUAUCUCACCUGAGUAAUGAGGCUGAAGGUUUGACAUUCCACACCAGAUGUCUUUGGAUACAGUCUGAAGUGAAGCGUGCCAAGGUGGUACUCCUUGCAUUGAUUAAGCUGGGAUCAUCAGAUGCAAUAUCAGUUGGUAUGAAUUGAGAGAAGCAUGCAGGAAAGUGAUCCUGGUGGGACCACUAUUAAGGUAUCUGAAUCAGGGAAGGCUUCCAUGACAAAGGUUUAUGAGCAGAUGUAUGAAUGAAUUGGGACAGGAGGAAAGUUCUUCAGCUGUCUUAGGGAAUGCUUUUCAAAUAUAUAGGAAAACAAGUUCAAAGUCUCUAGGGUACAGUGGACUUGGCAUACUCCAGGGACAACAAAGAGGUGACUGACAGAGAGGAAAAGGCAGGUGAGUAGCAGAUGAUGGUGAGUUGAAUGAUGAAGUGACUUUUUUUUUUUUCCAGAGCACUGCU